GGCGGUAUAGCUUAGUUGGCUAGAGCGUCCGGUUCAUACCCGGAAGGUCAUUGGUUCAAGUCCAAUUACCGCUACCA
rnacentral:tRNA from 32 species